rnacentral:rRNA from 1 species
UACGUAGGAUGCAAGCGUUGUCCGGAAUUAUUGGGCGUAAAGAGCGCGCAGGCGGUUUGGAAAGUUGGACGUGAAAUUUUAGGGCUUAACCCUAAAGGGUCGUCCAAAACUCCCAGACUAGAGUGCAGGAGAGGAAAGCGGAAUUCCCGGUGUAGUGGCGAAAUGCGUAGAUAUGACAUAGAACACCAAUUGCGAAGGCAGCUGGCUACACAAAUAUUGACACUGAGGCACGAAAGCGUGGGGAUCAAACAGG